rnacentral:rRNA from 1 species
GACGAACGCUGGCGGCGUGCUUAAUACAUGCAAGUCGAACGGAAAGGCCCGGCGCUUGUUGGUUGCUCGAUUGGCGAACGGGUGAGUAACACGUGUGUAACCUGCCCCUGACUUUGGGAUAACUCCUGGAGACUGGGGCUAAUACCGGAUAGGAUCUACUGCUGCAUAGGGUGGAAUGGUAAGUGUCGGCGGUGGGGGCUCGACUCGCGGCUUAUCAGCUGCUUUGGGGGGUAGUGGCUUACCAAGGCUGCGACGGGUAGCCCGCCUGGGAGGUUGGCCGGCCACAUGGCGACUGCGAGACGGACCAGUAUCGUACGGGACGCAGCAGUCGAGAACAUUACAGAGUGGGGGCAAGCGAGAUGUAGCAGCGCUGCGAGCGGGAUGACGGGCUACGAGUUAAGAACCGAUUUCGAAGGUACCGAACACUGCUUGACGGUAAUGGGUCAGAAAGCCCCGGCUAACUACGUG